rnacentral:rRNA from 1 species
GCAAGGGGAGCGGCAGACGGGUGAGUAACGCGUGGGAACGUACCUUUUGCUACGGAAUAACUCAGGGAAACUUGUGCUAAUACCGUAUGUGCCCUUCGGGGGAAAGAUUUAUCGGCAAAGGAUCGGCCCGCGUUGGAUUAGCUAGUUGGUGAGGUAAAGGCUCACCAAGGCGACGAUCCAUAGCUGGUCUGAGAGGAUGAUCAGCCACACUGGGACUGAGACACGGCCCAGACUCCUACGGGAGGCAGCAGUGGGGAAUAUUGGACAAUGGGCGCAAGCCUGAUCCAGCCAUGCCGCGUGAGUGAUGAAGGCCCUAGGGUUGUAAAGCUCUUUCACCGGUGAAGAUAAUGACGGUAACCGGAGAAGAAGCCCCGGCUAACUUCGUGCCAGCAGCCGCGGUAAUACGAAGGGGGCUAGCGUUGUUCGGAUUUACUGGGCGUAAAGCGCACGUAGGCGGACUUUUAAGUCAGGGGUGAAAUCCCGGGGCUCAACCCCGGAACUGCCUUUGAUACUGGAAGUCUUGAGUAUGGUAG